UAUAGAUUGACAGGACAAUAUGGACUUUCGUAUUAUAAUUUGGUUUGCCAAUCAAGACGGACAAAUCAUAAUCAUUGGAGGCAUGUUUCACACUUACUGACUAAAUCAAUAAUUUAUGAAUUGUAAAUUAAUUCUUCAUUUUAUCAUUGUUCUACCGUGCAGGUAUAUAUUUGUAGUUUUAUAGAGUUUAAAUAUUGACAAUUAAUAUUGUAAAUAAUUGUAGUUCUGCUGCAGGACGUCACUGAAAAACACAUGUGAUGUGGGUAUCCUGGAUAAAUAUAAUUAUUAUUUUUUAUUUGUUACAGCAAUUUGGCUGGUCACUCAAGAUACAAUCAUUAACCUACAUCCUGGAAUCAUGAAUGAACUUUAAAUGAAACAUAAUCAAAACCUAGUUUUAGAUUAAAUGAUUUAUAUUAAAUAUUUCUAAAUUUGGAUAAUUAAUCAAGAUAAAAUAAGAAAUAAUUAUAUUAACUGCAUAC